UACGGGGGGAGCAAGCGUUGUUCGGAUUUACUGGGCGUAAAGGGCGCGUAGGCGGUCAGCACAAGUCAGUUGUGAAAUCUCCGGGCUUAACUCGGAAAGGUCAACUGAUACUGUGCGACUAGAGUGCGGAAGGGGCAACUGGAAUUCUCGGUGUAGCGGUGAAAUGCGUAGAUAUCGAGAGGAACACCUGCGGCGAAGGCGGGUUGCUGGGCUGACACUGACGCUGAACUGCGAAAGCUAGGGGAGCGAACGGG
rnacentral:rRNA from 1 species